UCCCAGCUCGCGGCCCUGAUUGGCCGCCGCAUUCCCGCUUUCCUUCCCGAACCGCCAUUUUGAAAAUCUUGUUGAUUCUGGGCAGCCGAGAGCGCGGCGUGAGCGUCAGGCCAGCGAGCGGCCCGCGCGCCUCCUUUUCGGCGCCCGCCGCCGCCUCCCGGCGUCUCUUCGAGUCCUCGGCGCCAGGCCCGCGGCGGCCGGGACCCGCGGUCCACAGCAUGUCCUCCUCGGGCCCUGCUGCGGAGGGAGAGGGAACCCCCGCCCAGCCCGCGUCCGAGAAAGAGCCCGAAAUGCCCGGCCCGAGAGAGGAAAGUGAAGAGGAGGACGAGGACGACGAGGAGGAGGAAGAGGAGGAAGAGAAAGAAAAGAGUCUAAUCGUGGAAGGCAAGAGGGAAAAGAAAAAAGUAGAGAGGUUGACAAUGCAAGUCUCUUCCUUACAAAGAGAGCCAUUUACAAUUGCACAGGGGAAGGGACAGAAACUUUGUGAAAUUGAAAGGAUACACUUUUUUCUAAGUAAGAAGAAAACAGAUGAGCUUAGAAAUCUACAUAAGCUGCUUUAUAACAGACCAGGCACAGUGUCCUCAUUAAAGAAGAAUGUGGGUCAGUUCAGUGGCUUUCCAUUUGAAAAAGGAAGUAUCCAGUAUAAGAAGAAGGAAGAAAUGUUAAAAAAAUUUAGAAAUGCCAUGUUAAAGAGCAUCUGCGAGGUUCUUGAUUUGGAAAGAUCAGGUGUAAAUAGUGAACUGGUGAAAAGGAUCUUGAAUUUCUUAAUGCAUCCAAAGCCUUCUGGCAAACCAUUGCCAAAAUCUAAAAAAACCUCUAGCAAAGGCAACAAAAAAGAACGGAAUAGUUCUGGAAUGGCCAGGAAAGCUAAGCGAACCAAAUGUCCUGAAAUUCUUUCGGAUGAAUCCAGCAGCGAUGAAGACGAGAAGAAAAAUAAGGAAGAGUCUUCAGAUGAGGAAGAUAAAGAAAGUGAAGAGGAGGUAAAAUGUUGGGGAUUUUUUUCUCUAUCCAUGGGCAGAGUUAAAUACUCUUUUUUUAUUGUUGUUAUUUCCCCAGUACAAUUUUUUUUCCCUACUGUACAGCAUGGUGACCCAGUUACACGAUACAUGUACACGUUCUGUUUUCUCACAUUAUCAUGUUCCAUCAUCAGUGACUAGACAUAGUUCCCAUCGUUACACCGCAGGAUCUCAUUGCUAAUCCAUUCCAAAGACAGUAGUUUGCAUCUGUUAACCCCAGGCUCCCAAUCCAUCCCUCUCCUUCCCUCUCCCCCUUGGCAACCACAAGUUUAUUCUCCAAGUCCAUGAUUUUCUUUUCUGUGGAAAUAUUCUUUUUUUUUUUUUUUUUUUUUUUCUUUUUUUGGUCUUUUUGCCAUUUCUUGGGCCGCUCCUGCGGCAUAUGGAGAUUCCCAGGCUAGGGGUGGAAUCAGAGCUGUAGCUGCCAGCCUACACCAGAGCCACAGCAACGCCAAAUCCGAGCCACAUCUGCAACCUACACCACAGCUCACGGCAACGCCAGAUCGUUAACCCACUGAGCAAGGGCAGGGGUCGAACCCACAACCUCAUGGUUCCUAGUCGGAUCCGUUAACCACUGCGCCACGACGGGAACUCCUUUUUUUUUUUUUUUUUUUUUUUUGGUCUUUUUGCCAUAUUCUUGAUAAAUAAUAGUUGUAGCCAGAAAGCAUAGAUUGAAGCAACUGUAUCUGUACCAUAUUGGUGAUUGUUAAUUCUGAAGACAGAAAUGAUUAUGUAUAAACCCUUCCUUUCUCUUGAGGAGCUUUUAGUUUUAUUGCCAUGCCAGAGUGUAAGAUUUAGAAAAGAAUGAGGAUGGUUGGACUGGAUUUGAGCUGGACCUUGUAGCCUGGCGUAGGUAAGUGGUGGGGAAGGGGUUAUGUCCUGAUGGGAACACAAAGAAGGAAAUUUUUUGAGAAUUUCUUUGUAGUAUGUUAGUAUUUUUUAAGAUUGACUUGAACCAGUUUAUUCUGUUUUUUGUAGAAAGCUAAGGGAUUUAAGGACCAGCAUUUUUUUUUUCCCCUCAGCACAGGGAUUGUAUAAUGAGAAUAGAAGCAUUUGAAGUUUGUUUAUUUAUUUAUUUAUUUUGCUUUUUUUUAGGGCCACACUUGAGGCAUAUGGAGGUUCCCAGGCUAGGUGUCUAAUCGGAGCUACAGCUGCUGGCCUACAUCACAGCCACAGCAACAUGAGAUCCGAGCCACGUCUGCGACCUACACCACAGCUCACGGCAAUGCCAGAUCCUUAACCCACUGAGCGAGGCCAGGGAUUGAACCCGCAACCUCAUGGUUUCUGGUCAGAUUGGUUUCCAUUGAGCCGUGACAGGAACUCUUUUUUUUUUUUUUUUCCUUUGAAGUUUAUUUUCUUUGUGGGCAAAUUUUGUAUUUCUUGGAAUUGCCUGCCAGUUUUUUUUUAACUUGGUAGUAUUCAUGAAAUGUUGAGAAUAUUUAGCUUCCAAAGUGAACCUUGAGGGAGAGCUGCUGAACCAUUCAAGGGUUUGACUUUACCCUCUCCUUAACGCCUUAAUGCGUAUGUUCAGUCAGGUAGGUGAGGGAGAGUGGGUACAAGGAGAUGAUUUCCUGUUAUUGUUAAAUAGUGUUUUGGUGCCCCCUUUAAUGGUCAGAACUUGCCGUGUAAACUGGUUGAUCCCCCUUGUCUCACUUAAGGACUUGAUUAAUGUGGCUUGGCAUUUUGGGCUAAGAUGAUUUGUUGCUGUGCAGGUCUGUCUUGUGCAUUGCAGACUGCCCACUAGAUGCCAGUAGCACACCUCCUCCCCCAGCCUCCAGUUGUGGAAAACAAGUCUCUAGAUGUUGGCAAAAAUCACCUUUAGUUGAUAACUACUGAAUUAUAAUGAAGAUGUGGUGAACUCUGGUUUUAUAUGUAUACAUUUUCUGUUACAUUUGUCUUUCUGUGUUUAAAAUCCAUGCUUGUUUUAGUGGCAAAAUUUAUAAAGACUUUUUAAAGCUAAGUAUGAAAUGCAUCUUAACUUUAAAAAGGAUAUUAUAGAUCUAGCAAGUGUUUCAUAAUUAGUAUCUUAGUAUAUAUUUGAUGUGACAGAAGAUGAGUAAUCUGAGCAUUAAGGUUUUUAUGGAAUAGAUUUUAAGAACAUGUAGGAGGAAAAUGUGUUUGUUUAUAUGUGAAUAUGUAAUAGUAGCAAUUUUGCAGUAAUAGAUUUCUUCAUUCAAGAAAUUUUUUGGCUAUCUACUAUGUGUAUUGGCUGUGUUUCCCAAAACCUUUUUGUUUUUUUUUGUUUUUUGUUUUUUUUUUUAGGGCUGCACCCAUGGCAAAUGGAGGUUCCCAGGCUAGGGGUCAAAUCAGAGCUGUAGCUGCAGGUCUAUGCCACAGCCACAGCAACAUGGGAUCCAAGCUGUGUCUGCAACCUACACCACAGCUCAUGGCAAUGCAAGAUCCUUAACCCACAGAGUGAGGCCUGGGAUCAAACCUGCAUCCUCAUGGAUGCUAGUCAGAUUCGUUUCCACUGAGCCAUUUUGGGAACACCCUGCCCCAAAACCUUUUUAAGGGCAGAUUUAAAGCAUAAAAAGUUCUGAUAGAACAUAAACAUCUCAUUUUUUUCAUAGAGGCUAUAUGAUUAUGAGCAUGGCCUUUUUAAACUAUCUGGGUUCAUAUCCCAGCUGUACUCUGAUUAUCACUGUAUGACCUUGGGCAAGUUACUCGUAAGCUCUAUUAACCCACUUUCCCAUCUGUAAAACAGGGAUAAUAAUAGUACCAGCCUCAGAGGAUUGUUUUAAGUGGCUUUAUUUAAAGCAUUUAGAGGGGUCCUAAAAAGACAAAUAAUAAAAUAAUAUUUUUUAAAGUAUUUUAAACAGUAAAAUUAAAGCACUUAGAGCAGUGCUUGGUACAAGUAACUACAUAGAUAUUAGCUGCUGCUCUUACUCUUAAGAUAACUUUUUAUCACAUGUAAGAUUUCUAAAUGCAGUUUUACAGUCAUUACUAAGGUGGAGGCUAAAAAAGUGAGGAUAUUUUACACUCAUUUUCUUAUUUGCUUCUCAGAUUGCCCCAGUGUUAUAAAUAGAGUUAGUUGAUGUCUGUGAAUAUAGAUGACCCCUGAUUUAUAACCUUACUGGUUCUUGGAUAAUGAUCACAAGUGGAACCAUCCCACUACACAUUAAAGCCUCUCUUUCUCCAUUGCUGUAAAUGAGGAUCUUUUGCCAGAAAGCCAGGUUAAAUGAUGAUAAUCCGGGGAGUUCCCAUUGUGGCUCAGUAGUGACGAACCACAAGGAUGCGGGUUCAGUCCCUGGCCUCACUCUGAGGGUUGAGGAUCCAGCUUUUCUGUGAGCUGUGGUGUAGGUCGCAGAUGCUGUUUGGACCUGGCAUUGCUGUGGCUGUGGCGUAUACCAGCAGCUGCAGCUCUGAUUCUGCCCUUAGCCUGGGAACUUGCAUAUACUGCAAAUGUGGCCCUCUGAAAAAGAAAAAGAGAAAGACAGAAAAUAAAUCCAUGGAGGAAAAACCAAAAAUGCAUUUAUAGACAUUAAGUAUAUAAAGACACUCAAUAUAAAAUCUGUACCAUAAUGCUUUAUUUUCUGCUUUGGUUUUUCUGUUUGGGCUGAUACUGACAGACUUCAUAAAAUAAAUAUAAUGCCAAUAAAGUCUGAACUGAGAAAUCUUUCUUUUUUCCUGAUAAGUCACCAUCCAACAAAUAGAGGUAUUCUUCUUUUCUCUAAAGACCCUUUCAAAUUUAGGGCUAUCCUCCUCAAAACUUUUGCUGAUUCCAUUACUGUGGAAGUCUCAGGUUGCCUUUGAAAGGUAAGUGCUAGCAGAAGGGACAGUAUUUCUGUAGUAUCUUUGUUUUUUACUGACUCUGUUUUUUCGAAUACUCAGUUAAGUGGCAGCCUUGUUAGGGACUUCUAGAUGAAGGUAUUUUUGGUCAGUGCUAUGAAAGGUCCUGUUUUCUAAGAGGCCAUACAAAAGAGAUGUAGAUAGGUUGAAAAUAUUAAGGAUUGCUUGCAGAUGGGACUUUUUUGCAGAUUUUUUUCAGGGGAAAUUACUAGGUUAAUAUUAUUUAUUUCCUAAAAUGAAAUUUUCCUUCAUAGAUAAGACUUCUCCCUGUUAAGGACAGCUUCUUGUUCAGUUUUAGAUUCUUAGAGUAAAUAACUGUGAACUUGUGUGUUUCCUCUGUAAAUUGAGACCUUUGGACUAAAAAAUCUGUAUUGCUGAAGUCAGAAAUCCAGAUUAAGUUACAAUUGUUCAUUAGCCAGUCAGAUUGAAUAUUAUUUACCUGCUACUUUUCAUAUUUACCUAUUAAGUCAUUUACAAGAUGUAUUCACGACAUGUUAGCCAGUAAUUGCUAAGGUACUUUGUUUAAGGGUCUCUGUACCUCUGUCUCUAUGAUACGUAGCCAAGGGUUGAACAGCAGUUUUUAAUGCUCUAUUUGUUUAGAAUUAAUUCAAAUGAUAAGGUGCUCUUGGGUAAUAAUUCCUUUAAAAAAAGAGCUGCUUUAAACUUCUUAAUUGUCUUGGCUCUUGGAUAUUUGCUGACUUAGGGCAGUGGAAGAAGAGUAAUUUGGAGCCAGGAAGAACUGGUACAUCAAGUUUUUUUAAAAUGAGAGAAUAGAGGUUUAAUUAUUUUCUAUAAAAGAAAGGAAAAGCCGUGCUCCCCACAUUGAAGAACACAUUUCUGAUCUUUUAGACCCUUAAAAACUAGCCUAAUACUUGUGCAGGUUUUGUCUUCUCGUCUUGUUGUAACACAUGCUGUAUCUUUAGGAAAGUGUAAAACUAGGUUUUUACUUCAUGAGCAUUGACUUUAUUUGAAUGUUCUGAAAUACGUCAUGAAUGUCUUCAGCUCUAAAUACUUAAAAACCCUACCAGUAAUGUCCAAACAAGCGAUUCUGUUUCUUUGAUGACAAGAAGUCCACACACAGACAGUUCUGGGCCAGUACAGUGGUUCAGGAAAGGUAUCGAGGGUUUGGGGACAUCUCUUCCUGAGCCUCCGUAUUUGCAUGUGACAUUUAACCUUAGAUCUUACCUACAGGCCUUGUAUCCCUGUACCAGACAGAGAAGAGCACAGGGCUUUCUUCUUGUGAUGUUUGGCUUUUUUUGUUUUAUUUUUCUUGAGAGGGAUAACUUUUACCAAAGAUCUCCAUGUUUGUCCCAUUGGCCAGUACUUUGUUACCCGGUCACCUCUAGUUGCAGGGGAAGCUGGCAAACCCCUAGUGACAGAUUGUCUUCCUCUAUAGGAAGAAGGCAGAUAAAAAGUGGGAUGUUGAUUGGACCAUUUGAGGAAUUAUUUGGUAGUGGUGGGAUGGUGAAUGUGAAAGUUUUCUUAGUCCUUAGUUGUAUUCUAAAAAAUAAGAAUUCCCCCAUCUCAAUUUGAUCAAAGGAAAUACAGAAUUACAUAAAGUAUUAAAAUCUUUUGUUGGAAGGCAAAGUUGAAUAAUUACCACAAUAAAAUCUAUUUAAGCUCAUUUUCAUAAUCUUGUGAAAUGAAGCAAAGCUUGCACAUUCUUUACUCUUGGCACUUUCAAGUUUUCUCAGCCAAGUUGUUGAAAGAAUAGUGUAUUUUAAGCUAAUAUUUAUUUUGUUCAUCUGUUCACCCAGUACAACCUUUCUGCUGUGAGGACAGGAUUCUGGCUCUGUGACAGGCGUCUUUUUUGGAGACCCUCCUUCAAGAGCCCUGCUGCCUAUAAAAGAUAGCCACCAAAAAAGACAGCCAAAAAAGAAAAACCCAAACAGAAAGCCACUUCUAAAAGUAAAAAAUCUGUAAAAAGUGCUAAUGUUAAAAAGGCAGAUAGCAGCACCACCAAGAAGAAUCAAAACAGUUCCAAAAAAGAAAGUGAAUCUGAAGAUAGUUCAGAUGAUGAACCUCUCAUUAAAAAGUUGAAGAAACCGCCUACAGAUGAAGAGUUAAAGGAAACAGUAAAGAAGUUAUUGGCCAGUGCUAACUUGGAGGAAGUCACAAUGAAGCAGAUUUGCAAAGAGGUAUAUGAAAGUUACCCUGCUUAUGACUUAACUGAAAGAAAGGAGUUCAUAAAAACAACUGUUAAAGAGCUGAUUUCUUGAGAAAGAGGACAAAGACAGUUGACUUGUAACCAUGGAUUUAAAGAUCUGAUUUAAACCAUUAUACCAGCAAAGAGAAUGUAUUUCCUUUUCUAAAUCCUUGCAAGCGUUGUGUUGGUAGAACUUCCUGCUGACCUUUUAAUCUUGAGUGUUACAUAAUCUGAGUUGGCUGUUUUAAAUUGCAUUUCUAUGCAGUUUUUAGUUUAAAUUUUUGCAUGGCAGUAAGUGUCCGUUGCUUUUAUAGUUGUAUUUUGUACAUUGGAUUUCUUUAUAUAAGGUUAUAGAUUCUUGAACUGUAGUUUUUAGUGUGUGCUCAAUAUUAGCUUAAGACAUACUUUUAAUCAAGUAGAACAGAAACUAUUAUAACUGGCAUUUAUACAUGCAGAGACUAUUGCAGUAUUUAGUAUAUGAAAUAUUUUGAAUACACAUCUGUCAGUGUGAACACUCAGUGGCAGUGUGUUCAUCAUAUUAAAAAUACACAAGCUUCAGCUGUCCAGAUGACUGAACCGGAACUUUUCUCCUGCAUGUGUAUAUAUGUCAAAUUGUCAGCAUGACAAGAGUGACAGAUGUUAUUUUUGUAUUUUUAAAAACAAAUUUGUUGUAUAUAAAGUUUUUUUAUUUCUUUUGUGCAGAUCAAUUUUUAAAUUCAUAUAAGUAGGUAUCUUUACAGUUAAAAACUAUGAAAUGUCAGUGUUCAGCCAGAUGGUAUGUCGGAGCAGAGAAAGUCAGAAUUCAGUGAAGAAAUCACUGAAGGAACAGAGAGUUCUCUGUUUUGCCUGGGAAGUGUCAUCUAUUUGUAGUUUUAGUGUUAACUCUGCGACAGUGUGUGUAGAUAGAUACAUUUUAUAUUAAGGAUAGACCAAAAUCAACACGUUGAAACUUCAAAAAUUUGGUAAAGAUUGGGGUUAAGUACAAGCACAUUUGGCUUAUAAUAAUGAAUUGAUUUUUAUUGACUGCUUUUGCCCAUAUAAAAUCCUGCUAGAGGAAAUCUGGCCACCUUAUAAUUAUGGAAAAGUCCCCAUUGUACUGCCAGAAGAUGAUAAUAUGUAGAUAAUGUGUAGAUGUGGGUACCUGACAAAGUAUUUCUCAAAAGUGAUAACAGGAUUAUUUUUUUAAAAAUUUAAUGUAUUCGUGGAAUCAGGGGUAUUAGACUUUAAAUUUUGGCCAAUCAGGAUUCUAAAUGAUCAACAUAUGGACGGACCACUCCUGAAUGAGACUAAUUUUGUCUUUUAAAUUUGACUGUCUUAAUCAGUUUAUUAAAUCUCUGAAUUUUAAAAUAAAACAUGCUGCUUAUGCAAGAAUUAGGCCUUUGAUAAACUAUUGAGUGUUUAUCUUUGCAUCACAGAACAGAAAUAUAUAAAAAUGAUGUUGACUGUUAACAGGUAUUUUCACAGGUUUGACUUGUUUCUUGAUAAAGUUAUUAAGACACUAGAGACAAGCUAUGCUAAAUACAAAUGAAUGGAAUAAACAUCUAAUGAGACUUAAGAAUUGGCCUUUGGUUUUAAAUAUUUAAUUUGUUCCUAGAAACCUUGUCAAUAAAAAUAAUAACUAAA